rnacentral:lncRNA from 1 species
AUGCUCACCUCACAAGCACCCAGAGCCCCUCAGGGCCCAUCCCCCCCUCCCCUCCACCCCAAAGCCCACCGCAGACACUGUUUCCCCCUCCUUCUCCUUCCCCCACUUACCUCCCACAACCCGGCUCAGAUCUUUGUGUACGUGUGUGUCAGUGUGUGUUCUCUGUGUUGGUGGCUGACAAAGAGCCCCCAAGAAAGCAAUCUAUGUGUCUCCACACUGGCUGCGUCGGCUGCAGGAGCCGGCCUCGGCCUCCUAGCAGAGUGCUGCUGGCUUGUUGACCAGGCUCCUCUCUGCCUGUCACCCCCACCCCACCCAGCCCCCUCCUCCCGUCCCUCUCCUCUCUCUCCCAGCCCUGUCACCACCACCACCACCACCACCACCACCACCAGCAGCCCCCCCAGUCUUCUCCUCCUCCGACCUUCUCUUCUUUCAAGCACCUGGGGGGAGCAGUCCAAAUCCCUUCCCCUCGGGGCAGAAAGCUGGGAACGCCUGGGGUGGGGUGGGGUGGGGGGGCAAGUCAAGCGGCGGUGGGAAAGAGGGGGACAGAGGCCUUUGAAAAAUUCUCUGUGCGCGGCCGCGCUGGAGGGGGGAGAGGCGAGCUGCUGCGCUCACGUGGCCCCCCUCUCGGAACCUGCGGGGCCUAGCACACCGGCUGGUCCUCGGGCCCCCCACGGAAGCUGGCGGGGCGCGAAGGCCAGCAGUCCCCCGGGCCGGGGUGGGACAGGCCACGGCGGGCAGGCCAAGGGGCCUGAGCCUCCCGCGCUCGCCCCGACCCCGGGUGGGCCCGGGCCGGCGCCCCCGCCUCGCCCUCCCCGCCCGCGCCCCUCGCUCUCGCCGGCGCCCGCGCCCCCCGCCCGGCGGCGCGCACCCACCCCCGGCCCGGGGUUGGCCUUCGCAGCGGUCAAGCCCGGGCGUCUGGGCCGCAGCUCGGAUGACCUUUGUUCAGCGCGGCGCCGCCGGCUGCGGCUGCUCUGGCUGCUGCUGCUGUCGUCGGAGCGGCGGCGGCGGCGGCGGCGGCUUCCAUGUUACGGGCGUGUCAGCUGCAUUCCCGCGGCCGGGGUCUGUGUGUGCGUGUGCGGUGGAGCGGCCUCGCCGCCGCCGCCGCCGCCGCCGCCCGGCCCCCGCUCCCGGGCCGCCCCGCCGCCGCCGCGGCCUCGCCGUGCGCCCGGCCCGGCCCCGCGCCUCCCCGGGCGCCGCGCUCUAGGCCGCGCGGCGGCGGCGGCGGUGGCCCGCCACGCCGGGGCCUACGGCUGCGGGUGCGGGCCCGGGCGGCGGCGGCGCGGCCCGAGCGGCGAGCGAACAAAAGGGAGCGCGGGCGAGGGGGAGGGGGCGGCCGGUGGGGGAAGGGAGGCUCCGGGGAGCGGGGAGGCGAGAGCGCGAAGCCCCGCGGCCGGCGGGCGCGGACGGGCGGCCGGAGCCGCCUCUGCGGAGGGAAGAGGCGCCCCGCAGCCCUGCCAAGUCUCGCCCAUAUGGGGCUGCUGGAGUGCAACUUCGCCCCGGAGAGCGGGGUGGUGGUGGUGA